AGAUUAGUAUAGAUUUAUUUAACAUUAUUAUUUUUAUUUCAGCCUGUUGGUGGUCUGGUGAACCGGAAAUCAAUGGUGGAGAAGGAAUUAUGCAAAGUUAGAAAGAGCGGCAAGAGUCGCGACUCGCGGAAGACAGCGAAGAAACCCACUACCUGCCAGCAUUGUGGGCAAGCAUUUGUGUCGCUGUCAGCAGCUUUACGCCACCACCUGGCCAACCACCGCGGCCGGCCCUUCUACGCAGAACGCGUCGUGUGCGAGGUCUGCGGCGCCUCGCU